rnacentral:lncRNA from 1 species
UAGCUGGAGUACCCACAGUUAAGCUCACCAAUCCACCUAGUAAGUCAGCACAUACUCCCAACUUAAGGGUAUCCUUUGGACAUUUUGCAGGCUUCACAGGUGAAGAAGGGGUAGGUUUCACAGGUGAAGGGGUAGGUUUCACAGGAGCACAUGGAGACUUAUGAGAAGAAACACAAACGAAGAAGAAGAGGUUUAGGAAGAGUAAAGCUGCAACCUUAGAAGCCAUGAUUAACAACUGCAGUAGUACUACUACCACUACUCAACACAGUACAUAGAACUUGUUCUAGCUU